rnacentral:rRNA from 1 species
GGGAUAAUCCGGAGAAAUCCGGUCUAAUACCGCAUAAUAUCGUGAAUCUGCAUGGAUUUGCGAUUAAAGGAGCGAUCCGGUGACGGAUGGGCAUGCGUGACAUUAGCUAGUCGGCGGGGUAACGGCCCACCGAGGCGACGAUGUCUAGGGGUUCUGAGAGGAAGGUCCCCCACACUGGUACUGAGACACGGACCAGACUCCUACGGGAGGCAGCAGUGAGGAAUAUUGGUCAAUGGGCUUACGCCUGAACCAGCCAAGUCGCGUGAGGGAAGACUGCCCUAUGGGUUGUAAACCUCUUUUGUCAGGGAGCAACGCCGGCUACGUGUAGCCGGACUGAGAGUACCUGAAGAAAAAGCAUCGGCUAACUCCGUGCCAGCAGCCGCGGUAAUACGGAGGAUGCGAGCGUUAUCCGGAUUUAUUGGGUUUAAAGGGUGCGUAGGCGGAAUGCCAAGUCAGCGGUAAAAUCGCGGGGCUCAACCUCGCUCCGCCGUUGAAACUGGCGUUCUUGAGUGGGCGAGAAGUAUGCGGAAUGCGUGGUGUAGCGGUGAAAUGCAUAGAUAUCACGCAGAACUCCGAUUGCGAAGGCAGCAUACCGGCGCCCAACUGACGCUGAAGCACGAAAGCGUGGGUAUCGAACAGGAUUAGAUACCCUGGUAGUCCACGCAGUAAACGAUGAAUACUAGCUGUUCGGGGCAAAUGAGCCAUGAGUGGCACAG